rnacentral:rRNA from 2 species
ACGUAGGGAGCGAGCGUUAUCCGGAUUUACUGGGUGUAAAGGGUGCGUAGGCGGCAUGGUAAGUCAGAAGUGAAAUUUUGGGGCUCAACCCCAGAGCUGCUUCUGAAACUGCUGUGCUAGAGUGUGGGAGAGGAAAGUGGAAUUCCGAGUGUAGCGGUGAAAUGCGUAGAGAUUCGGAGGAACACCAGUAGCGAAGGCGGCUUUCUGGACCAUAACUGACGCUGAGGCACGAAAGCGUGGGGAGCAAACAG